GAUGAACGCUGACAGAAUGCUUAACACAUGCAAGUCGAUGGGGAAGUGGUGCUUGCACCAUGGUAACCAUGGCGGACGGGUGAGUAACACGUAAGGAACUUACCUGCGGGACCGGGAUAACAGCAGGAAACUGCUGACAAGACCGGAUAAGGUCAUUAAGCUGCAUAGCUUAGUGAUGAAAGGAGACGCCUGCGGAGAGCCUUGCGUCCUAUUAGCUAGUUGGAGGGGUAACGGCCCACCAAGGCGAAGAUAGGUAGCCGGCCUGAGAGGGUGGACGGCCACAAGGGGACUGAGAUACGGCCCUUACUCCUACGGGAGGCAGCAGUGGGGAAUAUUGGACAAUGGGGGCAACCCUGAUCCAGCAAUUCUGUGUGCACGAAGACGGUUUUCGGAUUGUAAAGUGCUUUCAGCAGGGAAGAAGGAAGUGACGGUACCUGCAGAAGAAGCGACGGCUAAAUACGUG
rnacentral:rRNA from 1 species